UACGAAGGGGGCUAGCGUUGCUCGGAAUCACUGGGCGUAAAGCGCGCGCAGGCGGCACUGUAAGUAAGGUGUGAAAUAUCCCUGCUCAACGGGGAGGGUGCACUUUAGACUGCAGAGCUAGAGGACGGUAGAGGGGGGUGGAAUUGCUGGUGUAGCGGUGAAAUGCGUAGAGAUCAGCAGGAACACCCGUGGCGAAGGCGGCCCCCUGGGCCGAACCUGACGCUGAGGCGCGAAGGCUAGGGGAGCGAACGGG
rnacentral:rRNA from 1 species